GAACGGGUGAGUAAUGUAUCGGAACGUACCUUUCAGUGGGGGAUAACGUAGCGAAAGUUACGCUAAUACCGCAUAUUCUGUGAGCAGGAAAGCAGGGGAUCGCAAGACCUUGCGCUGAUUGAGCGGCCGAUAUCAGAUUAGCUAGUUGGUGAGGUAAAGGCUCACCAAGGCGACGAUCUGUAGCGGGUCUGAGAGGAUGAUCCGCCACACUGGAACUGAGACACGGUCCAGACUCCUACGGGAGGCAGCAGUGGGGAAUUUUGGACAAUGGGGGCAACCCUGAUCCAGCCAUGCCGCGUGAGUGAAGAAGGCCUUCGGGUUGUAAAGCUCUUUCGGCCGGGAAGAAAUCGCAUAGGUUAAUACCCUGUGUGGAUGACGGUACCGGAAUAAGAAGCACCGGCUAACUACGUGCCAGCAGCCGCGGUAAUACGUAGGGUGCGAGCGUUAAUCGGAAUUACUGGGCGUAAAGCGUGCGCAGGCGGUUUCGUAAGACAGAGGUGAAAUCCCCGGGCUCAACCUGGGAACUGCCUUUGUGACUGCGAAGCUAGAGUACGGCAGAGGGGGGUGGAAUUCCACGUGUAGCAGUGAAAUGCGUAGAGAUGUGGAGGAACACCAAUGGCGAAGGCAGCCCCCUGGGUCGAUACUGACGCUCAUGCACGAAAGCGUGGGUAGCAAACAGGAUUAGAUACCCUGGUAGUCCACGCCCUAAACGAUGUCAACUAGGUGUUGGGUGGGUAAAACCAUUUAGUACCGGAGCUAACGCGU
rnacentral:rRNA from 1 species